rnacentral:rRNA from 1 species
UCCAGACUCCUACGGGAGGCAGCAGUGGGGAAUAUUGCACAAUGGGGGGAAACCCUGAUGCAGCGACGCCGCGUGAGCGAAGAAGUACCUCGGUAUGUAAAGCUCUAUCAGCAGGGAAGAAGAUGACGGUACCUGACCAAGAAGCUCCGGCUAAAUACGUGCCAGCAGCCGCGGUAAUACGUAUGGAGCAAGCGUUAUCCGGAUUUACUGGGUGUAAAGGGAGCGCAGGCGGCCUUGCAAGUCUGAUGUGAAAGGCCGGGGCCCAACCCCGGGACUGCAUUGGAAACUGCGAGGCUGGAGUGUCGGAGAGGCAGGCGGAAUUCCUAGUGUAGCGGUGAAAUGCGUAGAUAUUAGGAGGAACACCAGUGGCGAAGGCGGCCUGCUGGACGAUGACUGACGCUGAGGCUCGAAAGCGUGGGGAGCAAACAGGAUUAGAUACCCGUGUAA